rnacentral:rRNA from 1 species
AUUGGAACGCUGGCGGCCGUCCUAACACAUGCAAGUCGAGCGGAUGGACGGGAGCUUGCUCCCUGAUUCAGCGGCGGACGGGUGAAGUAAUGCCUAGAGAAUUCUGCCUGGUAGUGGGGGACAACGUUCCGAAAGCGAGCGCUAAUACGGCGCAUACAUCCUAAGGGAGAUAUAAUGGGGGAUCUCGGACCUCAGGCUAAUCAGGGGAUGAGCCUAGGGUCGGAUUAGCUAGUUGGUGGGGUAAUGGCUCACCUAGGCGACGAUCCGCGUAACUGGUCUGAGAGGAUGAUCAGUCACACUGCGAACUGAGACACGGUCCAAGCUCCUACGGGAGGCAGCAGGGGGUAUAUUGGACAAUGGGCGAAAGCCUGAUCCAGCCAUGCCGCGUGUGUGAAGAAGGUCUUCGGAUUGUAAAGCACUUUAAGUUGGGAAGAAGGGUAGUAAGUUCUACCUUGCUGUUUGACGUUACCACAAGCGUUAAUCGGAAUUACUGGGCGUAAAGCGCGCGUAGGUGGUUUGGUAAGAUGGAUGUGAAAUCCCCGGGCUCAACCUGGGAACUGCAUCCAUAACUGCCUGACUAGAGUACGGUAGAGGGUGGUGGAAUUUCCUGUGUAGCGGUGAAAUGCGUAGAUAUAGGAAGGAACACCAGUGGCGAAGGCGACCACCUGGACUGAUACUGACACUGAGGUGCGAAAGCGUGGGGAGCAAACAGGAUUAGAUACUUCCUGGUNGUCCACGCCGUAAACGAUGUCGACUAGCCGUUGGGAUCCUUGAGAUCUUAGUGGCGCANNUAACGCGAUAAGUCGACCGCCUGCGCGCAGUACGGCCGCAAGGUUAAAACUCAAAUGAAUUGACGGGGGCCCGCACAAGCGGUGGAGCAUGUGGUUUAAUUCGAAGCAACGCGAAGAACCUUACCUGGCCUUGACAUGUCCGGAAUUCUGCAGAGAUGCGGGAGUGCCUUCGGGAAUCGGAACACAGGUGCUGCAUGGCUGUCGUCAGCUCGUAGUCGUGAGAUGUUGGGUUAAGUCCCGUAACGAGCGCAACCCUUGUCCUUAGUUACCAGCACGUUAUGGUGGGCACUCUAAGGAGACUGCCGGUNACAAACCGGAGGAAGGUCGGCGCGAUGACGUCAUUAGUCAUCAUGGCCCUUACGGCCAGGGCUACACACGUGCUACAAUGGUCGGUACAGAGGGUUGCCAAGCCGCGAGGUGGAGCUAAUCCCAGAAAACCGAUCGUAGUCCGGAUCGCAGUCUGCAACUCGACUGCGUGAAGUCGGAAUCGCUAGGGUCGUGAAUCAGAAUGUCAGGCGGUGAAUACGUUCCCGGGCCUUGUACACACCGCCCGUCACACCAUGGGAGUGGGUUGCUCCAGAAGUAGCUAGUCUAACCGCAAGGGGGACGGUUACCACGGAGUGAUUCAUGACUGCGCGGUGAAGUCGUAACAAGGUAGCCGUAGGGGAACU